GUUUACCUCUGACUAUACUUGUACAAUGGUGGAUGAUGAAGAUGAUGUUGAUUAUGAAUAUUAAAUUUAAGUUUUUGUAGUUUUUAAAUAUAAGUUAAUGUUGUUUUUAAAUUUAAAAUUUUUUAAUAUAAGUUGUAGUUUUUAAAUUUAAGUUGUUGUUGUUUUUAAAUUUAAAUAAUAAAUUAUGUUUGGGGCUAUGACCCUUUGACCCUUGGUUGGAGAUUGAGACAAAUAUGACUCUAUAUUGUUCAUUAAAAUAUUUAUAUCUUGAAGGGUUAAAUGGCUAAAACGAGCCAUCUGGCCAGCCAUUGAUUAGAGAUUGCCUUACCAUCUCCAACCGAGGGGCCAGAGGGCCAUAGGCCAAACAUAGCCUUAUGACAAAAAACCAUCUCCAACCGAGAGGGCCAAACAUAAUUUAUUAUUUUAAUUUAAAAAAUACAACAACUUAAAUUUAAAAACUACAACUUAAAAUACAAAAAUAAAAAAAAUCCUUAUUUGGGUUUACAAAACUAUUUUGGGCUAUCUCCUUGCUAAUUAAUAUUAAACAGGCCACACGGACCCAAAGAAUACUUAGGGUGUAUGGUUUUUAAACAAAACAUGUUCCAUCGUUGUCUGUAAAGUGUAAACUCGUCCUCAAAAGCUAAAAAAACCCAUAUAAGUUUUGCCUUUUUCGCUUUUCACAAUUGAAUUUUAAUAAUUUUGAGUUUGAUCAUCAUCCUCGUCCUCGCUUCAAAAUCAAGCAAAGCAUCGCAUAAUUUAGUUCCUCACCAUCAAUCAGAAACCCCAACUUUUCAAAUUAAAAAAUUAUAAUAAAAAAAUAUGGAGAGGGUGAUGAACAUAAUAAAGCCAAAGCCAAAUCCACAACAGCAAUUAGAGAUUGGCAGCGCAAUCUUCGUCAAGAGUGCCGCAACAUCGAACGACAAAUUCGAGGUAUUUUUUUAACUUACCCUAAUUUAAUUUUUACCAUAAUUUUCAAUUUUCUUCGAACUUUUGGGUUGUGGGUUAAUUUCUAUGAUGAUUUAGGUUCAUGGAUCAAGAAAUCGGUUUAAUGGGUAGUUUUAAUUUUGGUUAUUUUGCAAUGGGUUUUCUUCAGAUAUACAAAGAGAAGAGAAAAGUGUGCAGAAAGCAAUCAAAGAGCCCGCUGGCUGGCUGGUUGAUCUUGGCCAGCUCGCUGGCCUACUUUGAGAUUCUUGGCUGAGUGGGAUCCACAAACCCUUUGGCCUAAUCCUCGGUUGAAGAUGAUUUUCGUGUCAAAACGGGUUAUUUUUAGCCCUAUAGUCCUUUGGUAGAGUCGGUUAGAGAUGGCUAAACCAGAGUAUCAGUAGGCAUUCAUUUCACAUAUCCAAACCACCAUAACUAAUUUUCUUUCAUCUUUUCUUCAAAUGCGGCUACUCCUACUUUACCUCGGAUAUCCUCUUUCCCAAUGGCGAAGCUAGAAAUUAUUGAGGGGAGGGGCGAAAUUUGAAGGGUAAAAAAUUGUUGUCGACGAGGUUUCAUGUCAUGAAAACAUUCCAUAAUAUGCUCAUUCACUGCAUAAUGAAACAUUAUUAGUUAGGGUAAAAUGCUGUAGGAAAAGGUAUUGAGCCGUCGAAAAAACUUUUCGAGGAAAAAAUUUGCCGUUGAUCGUCGCAAAUUCUUCUAUUUGAAAUACUUUUUUUUUUCUUUUCUGAUUAAUCAUCCAUAAAAACACAUUUUCGACACCAAUCACCCUUCAAUUUCAGUUAAAUGCUUGUCGAAGUCGAAUUUUAAAAAGAUUAAUAAUCCUAAAUUAAAGAGGUUUUUUGUCAAUCGGGUGCAAAUAUAGUUUACAAGUUAGCUCAUAUAAGGUUCUCAAGCUCACAAUAUCAUCAAUUUAAUAAAUUAUCAUACAAUUAGGCCGAAGAUAAAAAUUAAUACACUUAUAAUAUAUCUUAUGAUGCAUUAUGAGAAUUUUAAAACUUCGUGAACUAUUUUAAAAAUCAUUCCAAAUGUGAACAAUGUAAAUUGUAGUUGACUUAUUUUUUUAAGGUAAGCUCCAAAUACAUACGACUCUUCAUUUUUUUUACUCAUUUGAAAAGAUUAAAAUGAACACUACCAAUUAUCGAAUAUUUACACAUAUAAGAGAUUGAAUUAUGUGCUAACUAUUACUUUACAUUAGGUGAUUGUAGACUAAAAUUUAUAUUCAUGUAUACAAAAUUAAAUACAUUGCCAAUAUAAUUUAACAAGUUAGAACUUGAGGGUAUAUAUAUUUGUGAAGUGUGAGUUUUGGGGCAUAUUUUGCUGCUCUCGUAAAAGGGACGGGGUGUAAGUGAGUGUGAAGAAGAAAUGGGGAACCAGUGGUCCCCACUAUAAUCAUUUUUUUAAAUCUCAAUAAAGCAAAACGGUGUAGUUUCGCCUAAGAACUUUCAAAAAAAUUAUAACCCUUCAUUGCUGCUGCUGUGUACAACAACAAAGAAACCAGAGUAGUAGCAGGGACUCCAUCAUUUCUGACGGCACCAGAGGGGUGGAACCAUCGCUCCUGGGCUUGAUUCUAGUGAGGGGAGGGGCGUCCGCCCCUCUUCGCUCCUCUGUAGCUUCGCCUAUGCUCAUUCCUAAUCUUAUCCUUGCUCGUGUGCUCACAAAUCCAACGAAGCAUUCUUAUAUCCGCUACACCCAUUUUAUGUACAUGUUGAAGCUUCACCACAUAACAUUCCAUGCCAUAAAUCAUUGCCAGCCUCAUUGCCAUCCUAUAAAGUUUUCCCUUGAGCUUCAAUGACAUACGACAACCACAUAACACGCCGGAUACACUCUUCCACUUCGUCCAUCCAACUUGUAUUCUAUGAUUAAGGUCUCCAUCCAACUCUCCGUUCUUUUGCAAGAUAGAUCCAAGGUAGCUAAAGAGGUCGCUUUUUGGUAUUUCUUGAUCUUCAAUCCUCACCCCUAACUUAUUUGAGCCUCUGUUUGCACUGAACUUGCACUUCAUAUACUCUAUCUUUGACCGACUUAGGCGAAGACCUUUAGAUUCCAACACUUAUCUCCAAAGGUUAAGCUUCACAUUUACUCAUUCUUGAGUUUCAUCUAUCAACACUAUAUAGUUUGCGAAAAGUAUACACGAAGGAAUAUCAUCUUCAAUAUGUCCCGUUAACUCAUUCAUUACCAAUGCAAAAAGGUAAGGACUUAAAUGUCACAUUCCGUCUCGGAGAUGUACGUUAAUUAUGUUAUCGACGGUGUGAAAUUACCUAAAUAUCCUUGGAUGUUGAGAAUUAUUAUGGGAUGGGGUGGUUUAAACUUAAGAUUUUGGACCAAUUAAUUAUAUUCCUCUUUUAUUGGAUCCAAUUAGAACUAAGUGUUCUCUUAGUUGUGAUUGGUGUGCAUUUUGGGACCACACACACAUCCCUACCCUCUCUCUUUUCUUUCCCGUACUCUCUCUCUCCUUGCUAUACGUACGGACAAUAGCAAGAACACCUCAAACUUCGCAGAUCAAGGAAGAAAAUGGUACCAUUGUGUUCGUGAGGACCCUACGAGUUCAAAGGUAUCAAUUUCAGGUAAGGAAGCAUUCGAUUUCACGUGGAAACCCUAGCCCCGAUUUUGGUCACUAUUCAUGUAGAUGUAAAUAUGUUGGUUUCAGGGAAUUUCAAGCUCAUAGAGAGCUUUAGGAGGUCCUAAGGAGGCUCGGGGUGGUUCGUUGGAUAAAUUUGGACGUCAGGAUAGCUAGUUUCAAAGUUGACCGGAUUACCGAGCUUCCUCAGGUAAAUUCUAGUGGAUUUCAAGGUUUAAAAAUAGUAUAACGUGAUUCUACAUGUGGUUAGCUUUCCAAUGGUUCAAAUUUCAUGAAAAAUGGUGCAAAAAUAAAGAAGUUAGGACGAUUUUAAUAUUUUUCUAGAAACCGACAAAGUCACCGGCGACCAGCGACUUACCGAAGAAGACAGGGGAAUCUUCCGUUAGUUUUGACGGAAUACGCUAACGCCGUCAGUUAGUUUGGACGGUUACCGUUGGGUUUGAACGGAAUAUUUCGAGGAAUAUUCCUAACGCCGUUCAUGUUCCGUUACAUGUGUCUAGCACAUGGCGGCGCAUGGGAGCUCAAAAAAUUUAUCUAAAAAUUUGGGGAUGAUCUUGAGAUUGUGUAGGUCACUGUGGUGUAUUCAUAUACGCAUUUUGAGCAAUGUAUGAGAAGUCAUUAGCUAGUCUUGUCUAUGUGCUUUAAAAUAACGUUUUUAUAGUUAAUUCGCAUAUAGGUGAGACUUAUCCCGAGGACGAGCAUAUCCACGGACGACUCGGGGGUUACGACCCGUCGACAUACCAGUGAGUGGGCUUUUGUUUUUAGUAUAUAUUUAUAUACUUGAUAUAUUUCCCAAAAAUGCAUUUUUUUUAAGGAAAGUAUGCUUUGAAAUAAUAUGCCAAAUGCUUUUAUAUUCUGAAUAUGCAUUUCAUGUGUAUAUAUAUAUAUAUAUAAAUGUGGUGCUGUGGAGGCACAGGUAAGUUAUGUUUGGCUAUGUGAAUCAUCGAUGAUGUGUUAUGUGAUGGAUUGAUGUUGAGUUCAUAAAACUGCACUUAGGGUGAUUGUGAUUUAGCCAGAGAUAUGAAGUACAUGCCUGUUUAUUUAUGUUACCUCCCGCAUUAUAUGCUCAUAUUGGAUCCAACUUAAGUGCACAGUCUUGUCAUACAGAUCUUAAUUAUGGUUCCGACUCGUAGGUGACUAGCGAUUUAUCGCCCGACUAUUAUGAGAGAGUAAAAUUAAGCAUAACUAUAUUACACCCAAUCUUGUCGUACAUACCUUUUUAGUGGUUCCAACUUAUGUGCAGUAUAUUGCUGUAUAGGUCAUUGUAGUGACUCCGGCUAGAUUGACUUAGAGCUAUGAAUUCAGCCGUACAGACUACCACAGGGGUUCCGGCUAACAUAUCAUAUUUCUAUGAAUUUAUUCUUACCUGAAUUGCUUACUCUGUUAUAUAUUGGCAUGACAUAUAUUUAAAUAUCAUUAUGUGAAGCAUGAAUUGGAUUGAUAUGAUUUCAUAUAUAUAUAUAUAUGCUUAUAUCCUGAUUCUGGGAAAAAUUAUACAUGUUUUACAGCGAGGGGUUAGAUAUGUUGAUAAAUGAAAUGGUUUUGUAAAACAUUUGUUUUUGCCUACUCACGUUUUCUAUUUUGCGCCCCUCCAGGUUUUAAGUAAGCUUGUUGUUGGUGGCUUGAGGACGUCGGUGGUUCUGACCUAUCUAAAUAAUAGUAGGACAUUCCUGGUACUGUAUAACUAGUACUUGUCCUACUGGACUGCACCUAGACUUAUUAUGCUCUGAUUAGGAGUGUUUACUGUUGCAACUAACUCCUAUCACUUCCUAUUUAGUAGUGCACUCUAGUAAUUCAGUUUUUAAUUAUUCGUAUAA
rnacentral:lncRNA from 1 species